rnacentral:rRNA from 1 species
GACGAACGCUGGCGGCGUGCUUAACACAUGCAAGUCGAACGGCAAGGCCCUUCGGGGUACACGAGUGGCGAACGGGUGAGUAACACGUGGGUGAUCUGCCCUGCACUUCGGGAUAAGCCUGGGAAACUGGGUCUAAUACCGGAUAGGACCACUGCCUGCAUGGGUGGUGGUGGAAAGCUUUUGCGGUGUGGGAUGGGCCCGCGGCCUAUCAGCUUGUUGGUGGGGUGAUGGCCUACCAAGGCGACGACGGGUAGCCGGCCUGAGAGGGUGACUGGCCACACUGGGACUGAGAUACGGCCCAGACUCCUACGGGAGGCAGCAGUGGGGAAUAUUGCACAAUGGGCGCAAGCCUGAUGCAGCGACGCCGCGUGAGGGAUGACGGCCUUCGGGUUGUAAACCUCUUUCAGCAUCGACGAAGCGAAAGUGACGGUAGGUGCAGAAGAAGGACCGGCCAACUACGUGCCAGCCGCCGCCGUAA